GGGAGCGGGUGUGUCAGGGGACUCUGCGGGAGCCUGCAGAACACCACACCUGCCCGAGGUGUCCCCCAGAAGGACUGGAGACUUCGUGCAGGAGGUGAGCCCCAUGCCAGCCUGAGCCACAGAGCCCACUGGUCCCCAGCCAAGCCCCGGGGCAAGCAUAGUCGCACCCAGAAGUGUGGGACUCCCCCCCAGCACACCUGUACCCCCACCUAUGGAGCUGGUGGCAAGCUGGUCCCCCCAUGACCCCACCCAGGAGAGCUGGCCCUGCUGGGCGCCUCUGGCCAGACCAACCCCCCUGUGACAACCCAGCGCUCCGCAACUUCUCCUAGGCCCACCCCACGUGCUCCCCAUCCCGUGUGCUCAAGACCCCACCCAGGCCAGGGUGGCCGGGCAGAGCAGCAGAUGAGCAGACACCCCACACUCACCUGGACACCCCACCCUCGGGCUCGGACCCGAUGCCUCUGUGGAGUAGGUCCACACACAGGGCCCGCGGGAGAGCUCUGGAGAACUCAGUCUCCCGGGUGGGCUCAGUCUCACGGCCAGGCCCUCGCCAAGGUGUCCAAGGUGUGCCCGCCCCCUGCCCGACACACCUGACCCCAGGGCCACGGAGCAGCCGGGUCCCUGAUCACAGUGCCCCUCCGGGGAGUCGGAAUGUUCCAGGGGCCGGGCCAGGCACGUGAGGCCACCCUAGGCUCACAGAGAAGAUUCUAGUCCUGGACACACUGUGUAGCAGGGGGCCAGGAUGCCAUCACUGCAGGCCAGAGAGCCGCGGCUCCAACCCAAACAGUGCACAGAGACACACUCACUCACACCUCCAGGCGCCUGCACGCCCCUGUGCUGGACACCCACAGCCUCAGACACGCUAGAAGCACGCACAGGCCUGCCUCGGGGCGCCCCCUGCUGGUGGGAUGACACAGGCACGAGGGACACCUCAUGGGGGUGACAGGUGGCCUCUGGCCACAGGGCUGCCAUGUGGGUCCACACUGCAUUCUGGAUUCGGAUGAUGCUGU
rnacentral:lncRNA from 1 species